rnacentral:misc_RNA from 1 species
UGAGAAAUUAGGGUUUCUCUGCAGAGAAAUGGCGUUGGCCAGUCGCAUCCGAUCCACCAUCCCUGCCCUCAGUAAGUUUUGGAGAUCCGAAUCCUCAUGCACUCCGCUCUCAAGGACUUAUGCCGCUACAUCAGGGAAAAAUGAAGGAAAAGUGAAGGUGCCUAUUGCUUUGUUUGGAGGGUCUGGAAACUAUGCCUCUGCUCUGUAUCUAGCUGCAGUAAAAGCUAAUUCUUUAGAAAAGGUGGAGUCUGAGCUUGUUAACCUUGUUGAGGCUAUUAAGAAAAGCCCUACAUUUUCUCAGUUCACAAUGGACCUGUCAGUUCCAGCGGAAACUAGAGUUAAGGCUAUCAACGAAAUUUCUGCUGAAGCUAAAUUUUCAGACACUGUAAAGAACUUUUUGGUUGUGCUGGCUGAGAAUGGGAGGCUGAGAUAUGUAGAUAGCAUAGCAAAGAGAUUUUUGGAGUUGACCAUGGCUCAUAAGGGAGAAGUUAAAGCAGUUGUUACAACUGUUAUUCCCAUUCCAGCACAAGAAGAGAAAGAGUUGAAGGAGACAUUGCAAGAUAUAAUUGGACAAGGCAAGAAGGUUAAGCUCGAGCAGAAGAUUGA